rnacentral:rRNA from 1 species
UACGUAGGGUGCAAGCGUUGUCCGGAAUUAUUGGGCGUAAAGAGCUUGUAGGCGGUUUGUCGCGUCUGCUGUGAAAUUUCGGGGCUCAACCCCGAACUUGCAGUGGGUACGGGCAGACUAGAGUGUGGUAGGGGAGACUGGAAUUCCUGGUGUAGCGGUGAAAUGCGUAGAUAUCAGGAGGAACACCGGUGGCGAAGGCGGGUCUCUGGGCCGAUACUGACGCUGAGGAGCGAAAGCGUGGGGAGCGAACAGG